UGUGACAAUGAAUCAGUCGGUACACACGUGAUAGAUAAUUGACAGGUAGAAAAUAUUUAAUGGAGCAAAACCAAAAUUCACACAGGCAAAAAGCAAAAUAUGAUUAAAUAUUUCGAAUCAUGUGAAUUAAUUGCAUUGAUAUAUUAGACAAUGUAUCACUCAUUCCAGGUUACUCAGAAGGUGCAUGACAAUGCAUUUAGAUAAGCAUAAAAAAAUACUGUGCUCUAUAGAUUAUGUAAUUUUUUUUGCUCAGAAAAGGAGAAUGUGUAGAAGGAUACACAAUAUAUGAUCACAUAAGUAGCAAACAUAACGUUUUUAUAUUGUCAUUCUUUUCUAUUAUCAUUAGAAUACGUCGUAUAAAUGUUUCGGAAGUGCAAUUUUGUCAGGCAGCUUUGUGGUGCUGCAAAUGCAUCGACAGAAGCUGCUGCAAUUGCGGACACAUCAACUCGAUUGCAACGGCUCAGAGUGAGAUUACAGGAAGAUGAGCAGCGUGAAAUACUUACAGAUACAUUUGGACGCAAGCACACAUAUCUUAGGAUAUCUGUCACAGAACGCUGCAACCUUCGCUGUACAUAUUGCAUGCCUGCAGAAGGCGUUAAGUUAACCAAGAAGGACGGUAUUUUGAGAACCGAUGAAAUAAUACAAAUAGCUGAUCUUUUUGUCAAGGAGGGAGUGCGCAAGAUACGUUUGACAGGUGGUGAACCUACGGUCCGUAAGGAUAUUGUGGACAUUGUCGAGCAACUCAAGCAGCUGAAGGACUUGGAGCAGGUUGCAAUUACUACAAAUGGGUUGACUCUUACUCGUCAAUUGUCAGCGCUUCAAAGAGCUGGAUUGGGUGCACUAAAUAUAUCAUUGGAUACCCUUAAAGAGGAACGUUUUGAGAUAUUUACUCGCAGGAAAGGCUGGCCAAGAGUUAUAGCUUCUAUAGAUCUUGCUGUUCAGCUUGGUUACAACCCUGUAAAAGUCAACUGUGUGAUAAUGCGAGGCCGUAAUGACGACGAAAUAAUUGAUUUCGUUGAUUUUACAAGAGAUCGCCCUAUCGAUAUACGCUUCAUAGAAUAUAUGCCGUUUCAAGGAAACGAAUGGAAGGAAAAUAAAAUGGUUUCUUUCGAUGAGAUGAAGGGGAUAAUACGAGAAAAAUAUCCCGAUUUCCAGGCUCUGCCAAAUCAGCCCAACGAUACAUCUAAGGCAUAUCAUGUACCAGGAUUUGUCGGGCAAGUUGGAUUUAUCACAUCCAUGAGCGAACACUUUUGCAAUUCGUGCAAUCGUUUAAGAAUAACUGCGGAUGGAAACUUGAAAGUAUGCUUGUUCGAAGGCAAGGGCGAGGUCUCGCUUAGGGAUGCUUUGCGAAACGGAGCUUCGGAAGAUAUGCUUAAGGACCUGAUAAGAGGAGCAGUAUCGCGAAAAAAGAAGCAACACGCAGGAAUGUUCAAUCUUACACAGAUGGAAAAUAGGCCAAUGAUCCUCAUCGGGGGUUAAUUGAUAGUUUUAUGACAAUUAACCAACCGUAUUAAAGUACAUUCGGUUUUGUCGAGACGUGCACAGCUGUUAUCCUAAUCGUAAGGAAAAAUUCUAUCACAUAAAGCAUAAUAUCGCAUCGAUACGAAGCAUACAGUACAAACGUAUCCCAUACACGCCCAUAUAU
rnacentral:misc_RNA from 1 species